CAGAGCAAUUAACUUUUUUUGUUUUGUUUUGUUCUGCAGUUUUAGGGGAUAAGAAACCUGUACCUAUUAAUCUAUUUUUCAGUCUCAAGUGCUAUUGGACUCAGCAGGACUCAUGGGUGACUUAAAGCAAACAAAAGGCUUCAAUUUGAUAGGUGAACAAAGCUCAGAAGAGAAAGGACAGAAGGAAUAACUGAAACCUUGUCAUUGAAUGAUACUUUAAGAAAAAGAAAAUUGCCCCACAGAGCAACUCAAGGGUUGGUGCUGAUGAAAAGUGCUAAGUCCCAGGGAGACCCAGGCUGGAGCCACAAAGCAGGUAACACCAGAGAGUGAGUAGGUCUGGGGAACAGAAGAAGGAUAGACAGACCUGGGAUUACAAAGACAAUCAACAGGCUUACAGAAGCCAGGCCACGAAGUGGUUUGCCUGUAAGCUUUGCAUGUUUAGAUCCAAUAAUUUCUCAACCACCUAAAGAUCCUGUCACAUUUAGCUGUUCACACCAAACUCGUUUUGCAAAAGAUAUGAUUGGAAAGGGUCAUCUCCCUUUUUCUGAUUCAGUCAUCGACAGACCUCUAACUAUUGCGAAGAACUGCUAACUUUUUCAGCAUCACUUAUCAUUGCAAAGAUCUUCAGAAAACAUCUCCAUCUCUUUAAAUUUUUUCAAUACAAUUUUUUCUCCAAUGAACAAACUUAAAAAAAAAUUACCAAAAAAAAAAAAAAAAGUAUAAACUCAAACACCCUUUAGCUUCAUUCACAAGAAAAAAAAAUAAUAUGAAACUGUGGCAGUAUCAAGCUAUGUAUUCAUUUUAAACCAUUGCACAGCAAUUUGAUCUCCUGUGAUAAGGUUACCCGCUUGGUGGAAAAAGGGAAGGGAGUGGAUAUAAUCUUUCUGGACUUUAGUAAGGCUUAUCAUACUGUCCCUCACAGAAUCCUUCUGAACAAAUUGUCCAACUGUGAGACAAUCAGGUUCAGCGUGUGCUGAAAUGGCUCAAUGGGAGAGCUCAAGGGGUUGUAGUGAAUGGGGCUACAUCUGGCUGGAGGAUGGUCACUAAUGGUGUUCCCCAGGGCUCAAUUCUAGGGCCAGUCCUGUUAAUCAUCUUAUCAGUUAUGUGGGUGAAGGGGUAGAAUGAAUCCUCAGGAAGACUGUUGAUGACACCAAACUGGGAGUUGCUGAUGAUUGUCUGGAGGGAUGAGAAGCCUUGAAGA
rnacentral:lncRNA from 1 species